AUUUAAAAUUUUCAUCCAAUUCUACCAUUAGAAACUGAGUGACUGACAAAAUAAUAAGACAAUUACACAUGACAUGCCACGUAUACUUCAUGUUGACGUACAGAAAUCAAUUUUUAAUAAUAGAAAUUGAUAAAUUUUGUAUAG
rnacentral:pre_miRNA from 1 species